AAUUGGGGCUUGCAAUUGUUCCCCAUGAACGAGGAAUUCCCAGUAAGCGCGAGUCAUAAGCUCGCGUUGAUUACGUCCCUGCCCUUUGUACACACCGCCCGUCGCUACUACCGAUUGAAUGAUUUAGUGAGGUCUUCGGACCGGCGAUAACCGGCACCGACUCGUUCGGUAUCGAUUUCGCUGGAAAGAUGACCGAACUUGAUCAUUUAGAGGAAGUAAAAGUCGUAACAAGGUUUCCGUAGGUGAACC
rnacentral:rRNA from 1 species